rnacentral:ncRNA from 1 species
UAAAAGGGCAAAACAACCGAAAGGUUGUGACGCAAAGCUAAAGGACCUGUAAAAUGGCAGCCAGCUGC